rnacentral:rRNA from 1 species
GAGGGUCAUUGGAAACUGGAGGACUGAGUGCAGAAGGAGGAAAAGGUGGAAUUCCAUGUGGUAGCGGUGAAAUGGGUAGAGGAUAAUGGAGGAACAACCAGUGGGGGAAGGGGGACUUUCUGGUCUGUAAACUGACACUGGAGGCGGGGAAAAGCGUGGGGAAGGCAAAACAAGGAUUAGAUUACCCUGGUAGUUCCACGCCCGUAAAACGAUGAGUGCUAAAGUGUUUAGAAGGGUUUCCGCCCUUUUAGUGGUGAAGUUAACGCAUUAAGGCACUCCGCCCUGGGGAGUACGGCCGCAAGGGCUGAAAACUCAAAGGAAUUGACGGGGGCCCGCACAAGCGGUGGAGCAUGUGGUUUAAUUCGAAGCAACGCGAAGAACCUUACCAGGUCUUGACAUCCUCUGACAACCCUAGAGAUAGGGCUUCUCCUUCGGGAGCAGAGUGACAGGUGGUGCAUGGUUGUCGUCAGCUCGUGUCGUGAGAUGUUGGGUUAAGUCCCGCAACGAGCGCAACCCUUGAUCUUAGUUGCCAUCAUUUAGUUGGGCACUCUAAGGUGACUGCCGGUGACAAACCGGAGGAAGGUGGGGAUGACGUCAAAUCAUCAUGCCCCUUAUGACCUGGGCUACACACGUGCUACAAUGGACGGUACAAAGAGCUGCAAGACCGCGAGGUGGAGCUAAUCUCAUAAAACCGUUCUCAGUUCGGAUUGUAGGCUGCAACUCGCCUACAUGAAGCUGGAAUCGCUAGUAAUCGCGGAUCAGCAUGCCGCGGUGAAUACGUUCCCAGACCUUGUACCAAGGUCCCCCUUUAUUCUUCUUCCCCCUCUUCG